rnacentral:lncRNA from 1 species
GCAACUGAUCUUGAAGUUCCAAAAUCUGAUACUUUUGCCCUAUAUUUACCAUCCAAAAGUAUGUUACUAGAUUUGAUGUCUCGAUGAUAAAUAGGUGCAGAAGCAGCUGAAUGCAAAUAGAACAAGGCAUUGGCAAUUUCAAUCGCAAUUCGUAAACGCAUUUCCCAUGUCAAUGGUAAUUCUUCAUUUUGGUUAUGAAUGAGAUCGUAUAAUGUACCAUUUGGGAUGAACUCAUACACCAAUAGAGGAACUUCAGCUUCUAAACAACACCCUAAAAGCUUAACCACAUUCCUGUGAUUAAUUUGAGAUAAAAUGAUCACCUCGUUAAUGAACUGUUCAACCUUCUUUUCAUCAAAUUUCUUUCCUUCCACCAUUUUGGAUUUCUUAAUAGCCACAAUGCUUCCAUAUAUUAGCAUUCCUUUAUAAACAGUCCCUUGACCCCCUUGACCAAGAAUUCGGUUCUCAUUAUAAUAAUCCGUCGCCUUUUCCAUCUCUUUUGAAGUAAACAACUUAAUUUUUUCAACAUUACCUUCAUUGCUAGACAAAUGUUGUUGCAGUAACAAACCUCCAUUCCUUUUGAAGUAUUUCUGCUUCAGCAAGAUUUUUUGUUUUCUUUUGAGGGCUUUGUACAUACUCCAUGUUGCGAGUAGUAGAAAUAGUGUCCCAACACUAGUGCUGCAACCUAUAUAGAUAUAAGAAACAUUGUUAAUGGCUAAAAUUGAAAAUUAAAAUACAUGCUUAAAAACCAUGAAAAUGUUUAAUAAUUUUUUACUCAUAGUUGAUAGUGAUUCAUUUUAAAUAAAAAAAUGAGAAAACCUUAUUACAUCAUUCAUUGUUUUGAUAUUUAACUUUUACAAAUUUAAUGAUAAAUAAUUGUUACUACAUCCGCAUUCAAAAGUAAAUAAAUUACUACUUGAAUUAACAUAAUUCAAUAACCAUAAUGAUUCCACUGUAAAAAUAAAAAGUGUAAAUUCACCACGUACCUACAAUAAUACUUUUCAAAUUACGAGUGUUUUGAGUUUCUAUUUUACGCUCGCAACGAAAUCCCGUACUAUUGUAUUCAUAAUGAGGAGGGCAAGAGUCUGACCAACAAUAGUUGGUAGGGGUAUUCAAGCAAAGCAUGUUGCAAUACUUAUAAUUCUCACAUUUCCCAUCUGUCAUUUAUGAAAUGGAAAAAAAAAGAAAAAGAAAAAGAAAAGAAGAAGCUAUAAUCAUAUAAUUCAUUUAUAGUAUUGAAUCAACUUAGUUCCUCUAUUAUUAAAUAGAUCAAUUUAGUCCUUAUACUAUUAAAAAAAUUAAAUAAAUUUAAAUUAUAACAAUGUUAACAUUUACUAUAUAAAAAGCAUCUACAAAACUAUAAAAAAAAUUGACUUUCUUUGAUUCUUUUGAUUCCUUUUUAUGACACAGGGACUAAAUUAAUUCAUUUAAUAGCUUUCUAAUUUCUUUCUCCUUUUGUUGGUUCAAAUUAUGCUUAGGGAGUAUUCUAGCAAUACGUAUGCAAAACCAUUAUUUCAGAAAAAAAAUAAAACAUGAAAAAAAAUUUCAUUAUGGUGCGUUUGUUCAAAUUUCAUUAUACUCAUUUUUUUAGAUUUUACAUAAAAUAUAAAAUGACAAAAAUACUCUCAUAAUAAUAUUUGUUCUUUUAUAAAAGUAAUGGAUUUUCAUAAUUUCUUGAUCGAGUCGAGACUUAAUUGAUGAGUGACACCAACUCAAUUAGUCCUUUGAAAAAUAAUUCAAAUUGAAGGCACAUCCAUGAUGUGAGUGAAAAAAAUUAUGUAAUUAACAUAUUUAUUAAAAGCUUAUAUAAGACAAUGAAUUCUUGGUUGAAAUGAUAAAAUUAAAUUUUAAAAUUUAAUGUGUGAAAGGUUCAAAUCUCACCAUGUUAGGUUUAUUAUGGAUUUUAUAUAAAAAUGUAAAAAGAUGAAAAUACCCUUAAAAUAAUAUAACUUAAUUUGUAUAUAAAAAGAUAUUUUAAUAAAUUUUCGAUUGAGGUAUUAAGUAAGAUAAUAUAGAUAUAAGAAAAGAAGUUCCCUAAAAAAAUGUUAACUUGUACCUUUGCAUGCUCUUGAAUAACUGAUAUCACUGUCUUCCCUCAUGCACGAACAUAGAUGGUUAGAGCUCAACCUCGACCAACAAUAUUCACCAUCGAAUGUACAAGAAGUGUCCAAACUAUCGUUCAAAUAGCACUCUCCAGAUAUUAGAGUGCCCCAUUGCAGUUGAAUUGGGACAUGCAUCCUCUUACUUAGAUCCAAAUCAUCAGUGAAAUCAGAGUUAUAAGAAAUCAAGGAAGCAAAUCCGCAUGACCUUUUCCUCCUAUAAUCACUUGAAUCAACCAUAUCACUCAUGUUUGCAAAGAAUGAACUGAGACCUUUAGGAAUAGUAAGAGGACAACCAACAAUAGAGGAAGUCUUCUUAUUAAUCCUACAACUUGGUUGCAAACAUCCGCCUAUAAGAUUAUCUGUUUCGUUACCGAAAAUAGUAACCAAAUUACCACAACCUGAAGACCAGAAGAGGUUGUCUAAAUCUGAGUAGUAAAAGCGGGUGCCUGUUAGGUUGAGACUCAUCCCAUUGUGAUGGUUUUUUUGACAAUUGAAGUAAGUUACUGGAUGGUUAACCUCGACAGUGCCACGCAAAAAACUGAAGUCUAGUAUUUGUAGAUUCGUGCCAUUUAUAUUCAAUGAAGGCACUUCUUUCCCAUUGGCAGUUUUGCUGCAAAUUACUUGAAACCAGUUAUUGGAAUCAUCUUGGGCCUUCAUGCUAAAAGGGUAGUGAAAAGUAACAUUCCCACAGGACUCUACCUUAGAGGUGUUGAAGUUGAUAGGUCCUAGUCCUGGUCUUCCGCAUCCUGCGAGCUUAGCAAAAGGAAGUAAAUUAUAAAAUCUACUAAAUGUAUAUACAUCCAAUGUUUGUAGGAAAUAAAAGGAAUGUAUCAUUCAAAAAACAAAAAUACACUAACAAAAGUAUUAUAUUGUAGAUACAGAAGCUUAGGUUCUAUAUCAAGUAACCCCAUUCUUUACCUCUAAUCAUCAAAAUAAAUAAAUAUUUAUUAAUAAAAGUCGUAUGAAAAGUGUUACUCUAAGUAAAUUUUUUAAUUAAAUUUGUGUGUUAUUUGUGACACUAAACUCAAUAAAGGAUUUCUUAUUAAUAUAGAUACCAGUAUAAAUCUUACGGUUGAAUUUGAUGUGAUUCAAUAUUUUUAAUUAAAAAUAUUAAUAUUAAUAUACAAAAUGAAUGAUUCUCAAUACUGAUUUUAAACAAUUAGCAAAAUCUAUACAUUAACUGAAUUAAAAGAAGAAAAAUGAAAGCCAAGCAAUUGAAGUGACAGCGCGUGACUGACCUCCGUCACCGCAAUAGGUGGAAUUCCAGCUGAGCAUGGCGGGAACAUGCUUUGUUCCAAUAUUGAUGCCAGUGGGUAAUGGGUAAGCACUACGGAAAGAGUAGUCGGUAAAGAAGAAAGCAGAUGCGCAUUUGUUGCUGUCCGGAUACAUGGCUGUCAUGUUUACAGUAUAGGAAGUGAAAUUUCCCGUAAUUAGAGUAAAGCAGCCAGAUUCAGAAGCACCAUCGUCACACCUUGGUUGAACGCAGCCGCCAAGUGAAUCAGCUUCGUUACUUAAAACAGUAGCCAAAUUUCCGCAACCUACUGACCCGAAAUAAUUUCUGUCACUUGAGAAGAAAAAGGGAGUGCCUGAGAGAUUCACACUCACACUAGCCUCGCUUAUACGAUCACAAUUAAAAUAAGUAACUGGAUUACUGAUGAUAAUGGUGUUAGAAAUCAAACCCACUCCAAGCAUAAUCUAGAAGCAUGAGACGUGGAGCAAUUUUGUGCCAUGCAAAGUGCUGAAAUUUUAGCCAUACAAAGUGCUCCAUUAUUGAGAUGUUUUGUGGCUGGAAAUUAAGUGGAUUAAUAGCCACAUUUGUUGUCACUUUAUCAGCCUAUAAAUAGAGGCUUGAACUUGUGUUGUAAAGGAAGAAAAAUGAGAAGAAAAAAGAAAUAAGAGAAGCAACGUGAGUGAGAGUGAGAAGGUUAGCAAACCUUGAGUGAGUUAAAAUCUAGCAGCAGCUAGACUAUCUAGUCAUUGAGAAAAUAUUUGUAAUCUUCGUAUUGUAAUAUAUUGAGUGUGUAAUAAAAAAGUAAAUUUUCGGCCCAUCACGUUUCCAACAAGUGGCAUCAGAGCUACGGUUCGGAGCUUGGUUCGGAGUUCGGUUCGUGUCCGGUUCGUGUCCAGUUCGGAGUACCUUUGGUGUUCAUCUAACAAGUCGAUAUGGGCGACGUAAUUCAGCUACAAGUUCCACAAUUGACGAAGACAAAUUAUGGAAAUUGGAGCAUUCGAAUGAAGGCUUUGCUCGGUUCGCAAGAUUGUUGGGAGAUCGUUGAAAAAGGAUACAUCGAGCCCGGAGAUGCCGCUACAGAAGCAGCUUUAUCAAAUGACGCUAAGAAGGCGUUACGAGAAGCACGAAAGAAGGAUCAAAAGGCCUUGAAUAGUAUCUUUCAAGGAAUGGAUGAAUCAACCUUCGAGAAAAUAUCAGAUGUGAAGAACGCGAAGAAUGCAUGGGAGAUUUUGCAAAAAUCAUUUCAAGGUGUAGAAAAAGCUAAAAAGGUACGCCUUCAGUCACUUAGAGCUGAAUUUGAAAUGUUAAAAAUGAAGAGCUCCGAGAAUAUCGAUGACUAUGCCAAUCGUGUAAAAUCGGUGGUAAAUGAAAUGAAACGAAAUGGAGAAAAGCUUGACGAUAGAGGAGAGAAGUGUAUCUUUAUAGGCUAUGACAAAAGAAGUAAGGCCUACAGACUUUAUAAUCCUCUUACUAAGAAAUUGAUUAUCUCAAGAGAUGUCGAGUUCGAUGAAGCGGAUUACUGGAGAUGGAGUGAAGAAGAAAAGAAAGUGGAAGGAUUAUUUUUCAACGAAGACGACAAUAACCAAGAAGAACAAGGCGAUGAUCAAAGUCCUGGUACAACAGCCCCUUCGUCACCAACCAGCAGCAGCGGAAGCAGCAGCUCAGAUGAAGCACCCACAAGAACACGGAGUCUCAACGACAUCUACAAUUCUACGGAACCUGUAGAGACGCAGUUCGAUUAUUCACUAUUCUGUCUAAUGACAGAAUGUGAUCCAGUGACAUACGAAGAAGCAAUUGAAAACAAUAAAUGGAAGAAGGCCAUGGACGAGGAGAUUGCUGCAAUAAGAAGGAAUGACAUGUGGGAGCUAACAAGUCUGCCAGAAGGACAUAGCCCGAUUGGUGUCAAGUGGGUGUACAAGACGAAGACCAACAAAGAAGGAAAAGUAGAGAAAUACAAGGCAAGACUAGUCGCCAAAGGCUACAAGCAAAGACAAGGAGUGGACUAUGAUGAAAUAUUUGCUCCAGUCGCAAGAAUAGACACAAUUAGGCUUCUCAUAGCGGUCGCAGCACAAUACAAAUGGAAAAUCUAUCAGAUGGACGUCAAGUCUGCAUUCCUGAAUGGCUACUUGGAAGAGGAAGUCUACAUAGAACAACCACCUGGAUAUAGCAUACAAGGAAAGGAGGACAAAGUCUACCGAUUGAAGAAAGCUUUGUAUGGAUUGAAGCAAGCCCCAAGAGCAUGGAACACAAGGAUCGACGAGUACUUCCGAAGAAAUGGAUUCAUCAAAAGCCCGCACGAGCACACCCUGUACACAAAGAAGAAUGGAUAUGGAGAUAUCAUGAUCGUAUGCCUAUAUGUGGAUGACAUGAUCUUCACUGGAAACAAUCCAGGUAUGUCUGAUGAUUUCAAGAAAGCUAUGACUAAAGAAUUUGAAAUGACAGAUAUCGGUGAGAUGUCAUACUUUCUUGGAGUCGAGGUGAAACAAAUGCAAGAUGGAAUUUUUGUCUCUCAAAAGAAGUAUGCGGAGCAGAUUUUGAACAAGUUCAAAAUGAAGGAUUGCAAGCCAGUAGUCACGCCAGCUGAUCCAGGGAUGAAGCUAAGUGUUGAUUCGACAAGGGAGUCGAUAAAUCCGACGUUGUUUAAAAGUCUCGUUGGAAGUUUAAGGUAUUUGACAAUCACACGACCAGAUAUUACAUAUGCAGUAGGAUUGGUGAGCAGAUUCAUGGAGAAGCCGAAGCAAGACCACUUAAUUGCCGCAAAAAGAAUUUUGAGAUAUAUCAAAGGUACGAUGAACCAUGGUUUAUUCUAUACCCACUCACAAGAUUCAAAAUUAGUUGGCUACUCAGAUAGCGAUUAUGGGGGAGACUUGGAUGAUCGGAAAAGCACUUUCGGAUAUGCAUUCCACAUCAGUUCCGCAGUUUUUUCAUGGUCGUCAAAGAAGCAACAAACAAUUGCUCUCUCAACAUGUGAAGCAGAGUAUAUGGCCGCAGCAACUUGUACAUGCCAAGCAAUGUGGUUGAAGAAUAUUUUGGGAGAAAUAGGUGUUUCAAAUGAAGGUCCAAUUACCAUCUACGUUGACAACAAAUCCGCUAUAUCACUUGCCAAGAAUCCGGUGUCGCACAGCCGAAGCAAGCACAUCGAUACGAAGUAUCAUUUUAUCCGAGAGCAAGUGAAAAACAAAAACAUGGAGUUGGUCCAUUGCAGGACAGAAGAUCAACUGGCAGAUAUUUUCACAAAGCCGUUGAAAGUGGAGACAUUCAACAAAUUCAAAGAGAAGCUCGGUAUGAAAGUUGGGUUUGAGGGGGAGUGUUAGAAAUCAAACCCACUCCAAGCAUAAUCUAGAAGCAUGAGACGUGGAGCAAUUUUGUGCCAUGCAAAGUGCUGAAAUUUUAGCCAUACAAAGUGCUCCAUUAUUGAGAUGUUUUGUGGCUGGAAAUUAAGUGGAUUAAUAGCCACAUUUGUUGUCACUUUAUCAGCCUAUAAAUAGAGGCUUGAACUUGUGUUGUAAAGGAAGAAAAAUGAGAAGAAAAAAGAAAUAAGAGAAGCAACGUGAGUGAGAGUGAGAAGGUUAGCAAACCUUGAGUGAGUUAAAAUCUAGCAGCAGCUAGACUAUCUAGUCAUUGAGAAAAUAUUUGUAAUCUUCGUAUUGUAAUAUAUUGAGUGUGUAAUAAAAAAGUAAAUUUUCGGCCCAUCACGUUUCCAACAAAUGGCGUCUGAAAAUAUGGAAUCAAGUACCUCCAGAUUGAUGCCAUAUACGUUUAUGAAUGGCUUUUCCCCAUUACGGGUCGAUUUGCAAGUUACUCUAAACCAAGAAUGAGUAUAGCAGCUGCUAUGGAUUCCAAAAGGGGAUGGAAUUGUAAUAUUCCCACAUACUUCUUUACCACAGGCAGGUUCUCGAGAUUCUGCUGCUUGUGAAAUUGGGCAUAACAGGAAGAGGAAGAGGAGUAGGAGGAUGAAGUAAAGCGCUAACUGAAAACCCAUUUGCGUUGUUAUUUUGUUUGAGGGAAAUGAAUGAAGAUUUAGAUUGGGUUAAUGAAGAACUCAUUAAUAGAUUUUGUGGAAAUUAAAUUAAAACAAAGGAGGUAUCAUUAUCAACAACUAUGGACCAUAAGCAGAUUCAUUCCUUUUAUUAUAUAUUAUUCAUACUAACAACAUAGAAAUUUCCAUGAAAAAGUAAGGUCCAUGACAUCCACGGAAGCAACGACAACAAUCUGCCCCUAUAACAAUUGCAAAAAUACCUUGACUCCUCUAGAAAUCCGUCAGUUUGGAAACUGUAACGUUUAUGCUAUAACCAAAUAAACAUUUUAGAAAUAUCUGCUCUCCAAAGUCAUGUUUGUUUAUCUUCAAUUUCGUCCUUAUAUAAACAAAACUCCAACAUAUAGAAAAAGAAAUGAUAGCCCUUGAAAUCCUUAAUAUCCAAACCAUAUUUAUGCAUAAGGAAUUUGCAUAGGAGACGAGAAAAUGGAAUCUGAACUUAAUGGGAAAUUUCGUCACAGUCAAGCUAAAGUUUAACAAUUUAGGAUCUUUUAUCUAUAUGGUGUUCCACUUUUAUGUAUAUUUCCAAGUUUUUCAAUAUGAAGUCGGUUCAACGAAAAGGAAAUUACUUUAAAUUUUUAUAAUUAAUUGGAUUCAAAAAUAUUUUUUAAUAAUUUGGUAUGCGUAUACUUUCACAUAACUUCUUAUGAAUCUCACAUAACACAUUAUAUGUCAAUUUCACAUGAAUUUCGUAAACCAUGUUAAAAUGGAAUAUGUCCACCACCUGCUUAAAUUGAAUUAUUAUAUAACUUAUCCAUUGCUUAGCAAAGGUUGUAUUGCCUACACUUUGGUUCAUCAUGUCCCCACCCGACCCAUUUUAGAUGUUCAUUUUACUAUUUACUUUGAAAAAGAUUAAUAAUCAUCCUAUAUAUUUAUUAAUGUUUUGAAAGAAAAUUCUGUCUAUCCAAUUUAUUGAUGAUGCAUAAAAAUAAUUCCUUAAAAUUUUACUAAUGUAUUUUAAAAAUAAUUCUUUUUGUACAUAUUAUAAAUGUGAAAGGGUACGAAACUCAUGUUUGAAGUCAUGCUAACUCAAUCACUUACUAAAACCAAAUUAAAGCAAUUAAUUUUACAAUAGUGGCCAUAUGGCACUUUUUAAUUUCACUUCUAAUAUUUAAAAGUGAAGUCUUUUCUUUCUACAAGGUGAAGCUAGAAGGUAGGAGAUAGCAUAGAGUGUUAGCCUCUUGCCCAAAAUAAAAGACAUUAUCCCUAAUGAGUGAUAGCAAAGGUGAUUGUGUUGGAUCUUUCAGCAUAAACAAAAGAAAAAUCGAAUGAAGCAAAAAGAAGAAACUGAAAAUGAAAACUCAGCAAGAAAUGUAACUGAAAGUCAUCAUUUUUUUCAUUCAAAUUUGAAUAUAUGAAGGUUACAAAAAAAAUGUUUGACAGUUACCUACUAACUUAACUGCCCUUACUUAAUACAUACUAAAAUGAUGCAAGUUGAUUACAAAAGAAAGCUGGCAUACCAGCUUUUACAUCAGUCAAUCUUUCCUACUAACUUAGCUAACUCAUUACAAAGAUUUGGACUAAGUUCCAUAGGAACAAAACAUUCAAAAAGUAAUUCUAUAACUGAACCAAUUUCAUUUCUUUGCUACAAAACAGUAUAGCAGCUAAACUUAUACAAUUUGCUGCUGCUGGUCUGUUGAUCAAUUUGUUGCUGUUGGUCCUCUGUUGCACUGCAGGCCAUGGGUUUAACACUCCUCCUUGGACUGUAUGCAACAAACACCAAUCUUUUCUUUCAAGACAUUAAAUUGGUUGGCUCCCAAUGGCUUGGUUAAAAUGUCAGCCAAUUGAAUUUCUAAACUGCAAUGGACUAAGCUAACCUCCUUCGAUUGCUCAACUUCUCUAACAAAAUGGAAUUUAAUUUUGAAGUGUUUAGUCUUACCAUGGAAGAUUGGAUUUUUGGCUAUGGCCAUAGCUGAUUGAUUAUCCACCCUGAUUUCAGUAGGCUGAGCUUGACUUUCAUUCAAAUCAUCCAAAAUCUUCCUAAGCCAAAUGGCUUGAUUCACUGCUACUGCAGCUGAGAUAUACUCAGCCUCUGCUGCGGAUUGAGCAACAGUUUGUUGCUUCUUUGAGCUCCAGCUAAAAACACUUGAGCCUAAAGUAAAGAAGUAACCUGAAGUGCUCCUCAUGUCAUCAAUUGACCCUGCCCAAUCACUAUCAGAGUAGCCAACAAGUUUCAGCUCCUUUGUCCUCCAAAACUUCACACCAGCAUCAAUGGUUCCUUUGACAUACCUUAACACCCUUUUUGCUGCCUUUAAAUGAGCCAUGUUACUGCAAUGCAUAAAUAUUGAAAGAAAACUAACAGCAUAGACAAUGUCUGUUCUAGUUGCUGUCAAAUAAAAUAAGCAGCCAAUUAAGCUUCUAUAUGCUUUCUCAUCUACUCGAUCAUGCUCACUGGUACUUGACAACUUCUCCCCUAAUGCAACAGGUGUAGUAACUGGUUUGCAUUUCAGCAUGCAAAAUUUCUCCAGCACCUUGGAAGCAAAUGUCUGCUGACUUAUAAAAAUACCAUCACUUCCUUGUUUUAUUUCCUUGCCAAGAAAAUAGGUCAUCAUACCAAGAUUAGUCAUUUCAAAGACUUCUUGCAUCUGUUUCUUGAAGUCUUCUAUAAGUUCAUCUUUGCAGGCAAUGACCAGCAGAUCGUCAACAUACAAGGAAACAAUUAAUAAGGUUUCCUUCUGAUCCUUCUUAACAUAGAGUGUAGGCUUACUGACACUCUUAGUGAAUCCGAGCCUAGCUAAGUAGCCAUCAAUCCUUUCAUACCAGCCCUUGGAGCCUAUUUUAGGCCAUAUAAGGCCUUUUCAACUUGUAGACUUUCUGUUCUUCACCAGAGACCUUAAAACCCUCAGGUUGCUCUAUGAAAAUUGCUUCAUUAAGAAAGCCAUUUAGAAAGGCUGACUUAACAUCUAAAUGAUGCACCUUCUAGUGCUUUUGAGCUGCCAAAGCAAGCAGCAAUUUGAUAGUAUCCAGCCUUGCAACAGGUGCAAAGGUUUCAGAAAAAUCAACCCUUUGCUGCUGACUAUACCAUUUAACAACCAGCCUGGCUUUAUGUCUGUUCAGAGAGCCAUCUGCAUUGUUCUUAAUUCUAUAGACCUAUUUCACACCUAUGAUUUUUCUAUUUUCAGGUCUAUUGACAAGCUCCCAAGUGUCAUUCUUCUGAAUCAUUCUAAACUCAGCUUCACUAGCAUCUUGCCAGCAUCUUUCUCUUGCAGCUUCAUCAAAGCAUGAAGGCUCUACCAGAGUUACUGCAUAUCUUUCAUAGAUGUUUGCUAGUGUCCUGGUGCCUCGAACAGGUUCAUCAUUAUAGCCAUCUUCAGUUAUUGCUUCAUUUUUAGCUUGCUGCAAAUCAACAUCAAUCUGAUCUGCCUCAGGCAAAUUUGCUUCAAUUCCAUCCCAUUUCCAGCUACUUCCUUCACUGAAUUUUACAUCCCUGCUCACUAUAAUCUUCUUGGUCAGUGGAUCAAAAACUCUAUAUCCCUUCUUUACACUACUGUAACCAAUAAACACCCCUGGCAUGGACCUCCUAUCCAACUUAGUUCUUUUCUCCUCAGGUAUCAACACAUAACAUAGGCAACCAAACACCUACAAGUGUGAGACAGAUGGUUUCUGCCCAAACUAGGCUUCAAAGGGAGUUUUACCCUUAACUGCACUAGUUGGUAGCCUAUUCAAUAGAUAAACAGCUGUAUUCACAGCUUCAGCCCAAAAAACAUUAGGCAUUUUAGCCUCGAACAAUAGACACCUAGCCAUGUCAAGGACAGUUCUAUUUUUUCUUUCACAGACACCAUUUUGCUGUGGUGUGUCCACAGUAGUCAACUGGUGUUGGAUUCCAACAUCAUCACACAAUUUUUGAAACUUCUGAGAUACAUACUCAGAUCCAUUGUCAGACCUUAAGCAUUUUAGUUUACAAUUUGCUUGGUUUUCAACCAAGGCUUUAAAUUUGCAGAAAGAAUCAUAAACAUCUGACUUAUGCUUUAAAAAAUUCACCCAACAGAACCUUGAAUGAUCAUCAAUGAAGAGUACAAAGUACCUGCUGCCAUUUAAAUAGGUAGUCUUCAUAGGUCCACAGAUGUCUGUAAGAACUAGCUGAAGCUUUUCUUGUGCUCUCCAUGCCUUGUUGACUGGAAAGGGUAAUCUGGUCUAUUUGCCUAGCUGACGGAUCUCACACACAACAUCUUUUGGCUCAAUUUUAGACAUGUCACUGACCAAAUCCAUCUUAUGCAUCAUACUUAGUGAAUUGUAGUUCACAUGCCCCAUCCACCUGUGCCACAAGUCUGUCUCAUCAGACUGAGAUGCAUAUGCCUUAGCCUGAAGCUGAUUUACAUCUACUAUGAAGGGUCUGUCUUGCAUAGCCACUGUGGUUAACACUUCUCCAGCAACAUUUUUAAUCAAAUAGUUUCUGCCUUCAAAAAUAAGGGAGUAGCCCUUCUCCAACAGCUGGCCAACACUUAGCAAGUUUUGGUCAAUGUCAGGUACAUAGAGAACCUCUGAAAUGGUUUUAAUACCUAAAUUAGUGCUUAUCAAAGCCUUGUCUUUCCCUUUUGCCUCCAGCAGCUCUCCAUUGCCAAUUCUGACUUUGAACUUGAAAGUGGUGUCAAGCUCCUUAAAUAUGCUCUUCUCAGAAGCCAUAUGGUGGGUACAUCCACUGUCAAUUAGCCAACUUUUGCUAACUUUGCUUGAGCUUGCAAAGCAUGAUGCUGAAAAAACAUGCUCUUCUUGUGUUUCAACUUCUUCUACUACAUGAGCUUGGUUUUGAUACUGUGGUUGUGCUUUUGGUUUGUUUUUACAAACUUUUUCAAUGUGGCCAAAUUGCUUGCAGGCUCUACAUUGAAUAUUUGGUCUAUACCAGCAGUAUUUCUCAAGGUGAGUAGUCUUCUUGCAAUGGACACAAGGUGGGAACUUCUUUCUGGCAGGUUCUCUAUUCUUCUUCUCAGUCCAAGGCUUAUUGCCUUUGACAUUCAAGUUUGAACUUGAGCAUUCUCUGCUUCUAGCCUGAAAAGCUCCUUCAUAGUGGUCUUCUUGCCUAUUUGCCCUUCUUUGCUCUUGAGCAUAAAGAGCAUUUAUGAGCUCUGUCAAAGGGAUUGUUGACAAGUCUCUUGAAUCUUCCAGAGAAGAAAUUUUUGCUUCAUACUUCCCUGGCAAGGUUGUUUUGACUUUCUCAACCACUCUUUGAUCACUAAAUUCUUCCCCAAGCAGCCUUAUAUUGUUGACAGUAGCCAUGAUUCUGUCAGCAUACUGCUUGAUGGUUUCUGAGUCCUUCAUCUUCAGGUUUUCAAAGUCUCUUCUCAAGUUGAUCAGCUGUUGUUGCCUGGUCUUGUCAGACCCCUGAAACUUCUCCUUGAGUUUGUCUCAGGCCUAUUUUGGAGUGUCACAGGCCAUUAUCAUUGUGAAAAUAACAUCAGAGACUCCACUUUGAAGGCAUGACAUAGCCUUGUAUUUCUUGGCACAGUCUUCACUAUGCUGCCUGAUCUGAGCUAUGGUCGGGUUAGCUUUUAAUGGUGGUGGCUCAGUGUCAUUGAGAACAACAUUCCACAGGUCAUGUGCCUGCAGGUAUGUUCUCAUUUUCACUGCCCAGAUGUUGUAAUUUUCUCCAGCAAAGACCGGUGGAGGAGGUGGUGAAAAACUCAUUUACAGCAACCAAAAAACAACCUCUUCUUCUUUGUUUUAAGCACUGCUUGCCUGUUGACAGUGUACAACCAAGGCCCUUAAAGACUGAAAGCUCUCGAUACCAUUUCUUGGAUCUUUCAGCAUAAACAAAAGAAAAAUCGAAUGAAGCAAAAAGAAGAAACUGAAAAUGAAAACUCAGCAAGAAAUGUAACUGAAAGUCAUCAUUUUUUUCAUUCAAAUUUGAAUAUAUGAAGGUUACAAAAAAAAUGUUUGACAGUUACCUACUAACUUAAUUGCCCUUACUUAAUACAUACUAAAAUAAUGCAAGUUGAUUACAAAAGAAAGCUGGCAUACCAGCUAUUACAUCAGUCAAUCUUUCCUACUAACUUAGCUAACUCAUUACAAAGAUUUGGACUAAGUUCCAUAGGAACAAAACAUUCAAAAAGUAAUUCUAUAACUGAACCAAUUUCAUUUCUUUGCUACAAAACAGUAUAGCAGCUAAACUUAUACAAUUUGCUGUUGCUGGUCUGUUAAUCAAUUUGUUGCUGCUGGUCCUCUGUUGCACUGCAAGCCACGGGUUCAACAGAUUGUUCUUUGAGAAGAAAUUUUCAAGAAUGUCACUCUUGACCCUGUCCGAUGACAAGAGGCUCCACAUUAUUUAUAGCCAUUCAACGUAUAAGGAGAAUUAGGGCGAGUUUGGAUGGGCGGUGCAUUUACUUGCGGUUAGUGUAAAAACAGCGGUGGCGGUGAGAUUAGAUAAUGUAGUGAUACUGUAGCAUGAAACAAAAAGUAAGCUAAACGCACCGCUCCGCUCCCAAUCGCCCAUCCAAACCCACCCUUAGUAUCACAAGUACAAGAAUAAUUUCCAUCACAACUGAACAAAAUACUUCCAAGUCAUAUUCUUUUGUGGAAAGGUAUUCUCAAUAGAAAAGUAUAUCCACGAAAUGAUAGAAAAGGCUUUGGCCACAAUUAAAUCAACACCUUUAAAUAGUUAUACGAAAUUAAAAAUGGAAUCGUCAAUGUCAUGACAUCAUCAUCUUAUAACUUUAUACUCUAAAGAAAAUUUUGUUAAUUAAUUACUACUUUAAUUAUCGAUAAUUUUGCUAAUUAUUUUUAAAUUUGUACUUAAUACACCAGCACCAUGUUUGGCGUGUUUCGUUUCUACGACUUAUGAUUUUCCAAUUAUUUUUGAAUGAAAGUUUUGCUUUCACGAUAAAUUGCAAUUUUGCAUUAAAAUAAUAUUAAAAAAUCCCCCAUCUGUUGCAACAUUGAACAGUGAGAUGGUUGCCUGAGAUUUUCUAUGUAUGAAAAGAAACAAGCAAGAAAUUAGCGAGGCAGGUACUCAAGUAUAUAUCUUUAGCAAGAAAAACUAACAUAGGAAUUCUCCAAUUUGAUCCACUAUUGUGUUUUCUUUUUAUGGGAAGAACAUUAAUCAUUGUGCCCUAGUUACUUCCAUAAAUUUUUGCUUCUUUAAAAAUAAGAAGAAGAAGAAAGAAAGAAAAACAUCAACUUUAGUCCUACAAUGAACUCGUAUAAAUUCGUUAGUCCUGAAACUAUGACUUAAUACAACUGAACCUUUAGAAAAAUAUGGCCUCAUCCUUAACCAUUUCCCUUAUUCUAGGGAUACUGUAGGCUACCAUCCUUCUAAUUUCAUCUGAUACAUCCUCAAUAAUACUCCUAGGAUAUCUGAUUGAUUUAUUCGCUAAUUGAAUACUCAUCCUAGUAUGUUCGGGUUUCCCGAGACCAAGUUGUUUAAACAUCUUGUAGGGCAUCAUAACAUUUAUGCUAGCCCUUAAAUCAGCUAGAACAUUUUCAAUAUUUAAACUACUAAUAAGACAAGGAAUAGUAAAACUCCCUAGGUCUUUAAGUUUGUUGGGUAAUUUAUUUUGGAGAAUGACCGAGCAAAAUGCAUUGAGCUCCACAAUCGAUGAGUCGUCUAAUUUCCUUUAAUUUGUUAACAACUCCUUUAAAAUUUUUAUAUAAUUUGGUAUCUAUGGAAGAGCUUCAACAAAUGGUAAAUUAAUAUGCAAUUUUAUAAUAUCAUGUACAUGAUUAAUAUUAGUGUAUUUAUAUAUUCAUUUAAUUAAAUUGGGCUCAUUGACUCUCAUUAUAUCUCUUCAAAUACACUAUAUGCUUAGAAAUUUCGAAGAAAGAUGAAAACAAUGUUAUGGACAAUUUCAUCGAAAUUAAGCCAAAGUUUUCCAAUUAAGAACCUUUCGUGGAAAAUUUGACAUUUGAAUAAUCAUCACAUACAAUCUUUAUUUAUAAGGUGUUCCACAUUUGCAUAUAAUAUAUUUCCAAUUUGGUCCAAAGAAAAGGGAAGAUAUUUUAAAAGUGCGUAAUUUUGAAUUCAAAGCUUAAUAUAUGUAAUUUAUGCUUAAUCCUUUCAAUAUUUAUGUGUGAAGCAAACUUAUCAAAUAUAAAAACAAUGUCUCUUUCAUAACUACAUGGGAUAGCCUGAUGGUCAAAAGUGUUCACCGCCUCAAGCAUGGUCUAAAUUUGAGCUGUUAUUGUAAUUCAAAAGAAGAAAAAAACAAUGUUUUCAUCAAUUUGCAUAAAGAAAACACUAAGCCAAACCAUUUAGAAAGGAGGGAACGAUGCUCGUGGCCUGAGUUUUAUUCUGGGUGUUUAAAACUCUUAAAUUGUCUUUGAUAAUUUCAUUCGUUUUGGUUUAUUAUUUUUAUACUAAGGUUAGUUUGGGGUAUUUGCACUUAUUUUAAUUUUAUUAAUUUUAAAUAUUAUUUGAUAAAAUUUCCAAUUGUUUUUAUAAAUAUUUUUAAAUAAAAGUAUUCAAUAACUUUUUAAAUACAUAUAAUUUUUAAGUUAUUUACAUUAUUUUUUAUAUCAUACAAAUUAAAUUAAUUUAUAUAAAUUAAAAGGAUAAAUCACUUUUUAACCCUUAAACUUAGUUGCUUUUCUCAAGUUGAUAUCUAAUGUUUUUGGAUCUAAGUUGGUACUUGAACUUAUAUUUUAGGUAACAUUUUCCUCAUUUUUUGUAUCAAUGUUAAAUUAUGUUGACAUACAUUUUAAGAUUUGUGCCAUGUUAUCACUUUAAAUUUUAUUUAAAUUUGAAAAUAUUAAAUAAUAAUAAACAAUUAUUUAAAUAUAAAAAAUAAAACUAUAAAAAUUAUAAACCUUUAUUAAAAAUUAAAAAUAUGAAUAAUUAUAAUAAAUCUAUUUGAAAAUCUUUUUAAUUAUUUUUCUUUUUACUUAGGAUUUUUUAUUCCUUUAUAAUUAGUUAUACAACAAUUAUGAUAAUACUCUAAAAUGACAUACUUUUAUGUGUUAAUUACAUAUAUAUUUUGAGUACGAUCCUACUAAUUUGGGUCAUUUAUGGUUUUUUUAUCUUGUAGGAACUAAAUUGAAGGCAAAAAGAAAUUUGGGAACAAAAAGCGAGAAUUUAAAGACAAAACGAGUCAGUAUGCGAAAUAGGGAAGAAAUUGUGCCGAAAAUACAAAGUGUAGAAGACUUGGGGCAAAAUUUCAAAGAAGAGAUUUAUGAACAUAAGACUUUGUUUAAAUUAAAAUUUUAUUUUUAAGAUUAUUGUUAGGAUUAUUAUAUUGUUUAGAUUUAAUUUCAAAUUAUAUCUCUUAAAUAUUAUCAUCUAAGUUUAAAUAGGAACAAACUGGGUUCUUUCAUGUACUAUAAAUAGGGAAUGGGGUGACAUGAAUAUCCACUCAUCAUUUUUGAAAAAAACUCAUUCUCCCUAAGGCUCCUAGCCUUUUUGUUUCUUUUUCAAUAAAUUCCAUUUCAUUAAAACUAGUGUUUUUUUUUUCCAAAAAGCAUGAAUAACUAAACUCAUCCAGUCAAAGGUUAUCAAGACUCCUCCAAAAGAGUUCAUGAGGCUUAGAACCCGCACUUAGCCCUUCUUAACGAGUGUUCAUCAUUUCUCUGCAUUACAGGACUGACGCUUCCGUCCAUGUCCUUCCAAAAUUAAUCUUUUCAUCUUGUGCAAAGACAACCGCUUUGUAUGUUUUGGGAAGGUUACACAGUCAGUUCACUAACUUACUACGUCAGAGGUAGUCGAGCCCAAGAGAUGAAAUGGUGCGACAUUCAUCAUUGAGAAAUAAUGAUCUAGUGUAAGACAGUCCCACAGAAGUGACGGUUGGCUAGAGUCAGGUUCCACUAGACCGUAAGGCUAUAACCGAAGAGGAGCUAGUGGUCGUAGGCAUCCUCUUCCACUAUAACUUACCUAUUCAGUCAUGAGAAGGAUCACCUAAAAGCCUAUGAUUGAACCAAAGGAGGAUCGAGAUAACUAGAGGCUGGAACCCCUCAAUCGGAAAGCCCAUUUUUCUCAAUUCUACUUCUUAUCACAAUUAUGAUUUCAAUCUGUCAAAACCACUUUUAGAUAAAAGGGAUCGACUUUUAAAAAUAAAAUAACAAAAUAGUAGUCACCGCCGAUCUUUUGUUAAGAUGUGAUCGGAUCACCUUGAAAACGAUUUUGGUCUACGAAAUUUAAAAAAAUAGGUCCGGGAGUCGAUUACUCACAAGGAAGGGUUAGCACCCUCGUAACGCCCAAAAUUGAUACCUAAUUGAUUAAUUAAUGUCUUAAAGUCGAAUGAUAAAAAUCCGAAAAGAUUAAAAAUGAUUCCCCUUUUUAUUAAUGCCAAUUUUUAAAACAACCUUUGAAUAAAUUUGAAAUAGUAUGUAAAAAACUCUCUUGUCUCGAGGCAACAAAAUGUCGUAUCGCAUAAGUUAGGAUGCAAUAUUUGAAUUCUCGAGCAUAAGCUAACCUUUAAAAAUUUAAUUGAAAUCUCAUGUAUUUGAAACCAAAAAAUAUCUAGCCAUUUUGGCUCGAUGAGAAAAUCGAAACCCCGUAAGUUAGGGUACGAUUUUUCGAGGUUCCAAAGAUGACAUAUAAUCUCGCCUUUAUUCUAGAAAAAGAGAAGAUCCUUGUCUCGAGAUAACAAAAUAUCAUAUCCAAUGAGUUAGGAAACAACAAAUUGAAUUCUCGAGAAUAGGUUUUUAUUUGAAAUUUUACGUUUUGAUUUAAAAAGGAAUACUAGGUUUCUUAAAUCUAACAAAGAAAAUUAAAACCCAGUAAGUUAAGGCGCAAUCCUCUUGAGGACCCCAAAUUCCAAGUAUUGUGUUAUUUUUGAAAACCUUUGUAUAAAAUAACUUUGAUACUUAUAUUAAACGUAAUCUUUUGAACGAAUAAAAAACGAUGGAAUAAUAAUUUACAACGCAAAAUGAUGAUUCGUAAAUCAAAAUGUACACUAAUGAAUGACAAACAAUCAAUAAAUAGAAAUAAACAAUACAAUACACAUAAUAGUAAGAAUCUCAUAUCAUAUGUUGGGUGAAUACCAAUAUUAAAAGCUAAAGAAUUAAAAGGAAUAUUAAGCAAAUUAACACAACCAAAGUAUAACAAGUUUUAAAAUAAAAAAUGAAUAAUGAAUAACAUGAAAAAAAAUAUCUAUAUAUAAACAAUAAAUUACAUGCAUACAAUUUCAAAAUAAACAAUAUACGAGUUUGAAAUAGAUCAAAAAUGAAGAUAAAAUGAAUACUAUGUGAAAUGAUAAUAUCCAAAUGAAUUUUAAAGUAAAUAUUGUAUAUAAAAAAACAAAUCAAAAUAUGUAAAAUAAAAAUAAUAAUAUAUAUAUUAAUCUAAACAAAUAAUACAUAUGGAAUGAAAAGUUUAACAAUAACAUAAAUAAUAAUAUAUAACAAUAUAUGUAAAAAGUUGAGAUAGGUAAAAUAUAAUAAAUAGUUUUUUUUUAAAAGAAAUAAAUUAUAUAUAUAUAUGAGAAUGAGAAAAAAAAUGGAAUCAAUAAUGUAUCAUAUAUGUAUGUAUGUAUAAUAUACAUUGUGUAUAUACAUAUAAAAUAUUAUUAUAUAGGAAGAUUAUUGUAUAAAUCAUUAAAACAUAGCAAUAUAGAAGAAAAUUUUAAAGGUAUAUUAUAAAGUAAAACUAUAAGAAAAAAUUGUGUACAAAUAAUAUUGAAUUUAUAUAAAAAUAUAUAAAAUAAUACAUGAUAAAUUUAAAUAAAAAUACAUGAUAAACUUAAAAUAAUGUUAAUAAUAAAUUUAAAAUAAUAAUAUAUUAUAAAUUAAAAUAGUAUUAAUGAUAAAUUUAAAAAUAUAUUAAACUUAAGCAUAAAAAGAAGGUUAGAUUUAAAAAAUAAAUAUAUCUAAAAAAUAACAGAAUAAUGAAUUUUAAACAAAAUAAAAAUCAAGGAUAUUAAAUUAAAUAAGUAUGGAUUAAGUUGUAUUUAAUUCGAAAUUAAAAGAAAAAAAUGAAAAUAAAGCAGAAUUGAGGACCAAAAAGGAACACGCGAUUAACAUGGGGAUUAAAGAGGAAAAUAUUCCAAUCCCCAAAACAUAGCAUUUCAUCAUGGACCAAAAUGAAAUUAACAGGAAAUUAUGUGGCCACAAUUAAAGAAAUAAAAUGGACCAGAUUGAACCACAGCACAAAGGCGAAGGGACCUGGCGCACAAAUAUCCCUCCCAAUACCAAAACGCGCGGAUCUAGUCGCAUUUGGGCCGGGUGAUCGGGUCGCUGGUCAGAACGGUGCCGUUUUAGAACCACUGAAACAAGGUCUAAACGGCACCAUUUCAAUAAUUUGCAUAAAACUAAAAAAACCCUAAAUGUUCCUUUAGCCGCUUUAACACAAAUCAACAAAACCCUCAGCCACUCGGUUGCCUCACCGUUCUCGGUCCCCCCAUCCGAACUCCGAUCGCGAUGGAGUGAACGGGAGUUCAAGGCACUACCACAAAAGGUAAAUCCCCUAUCCCUUAUUCGUUCUCCUUUUUACAUACAUCAAAUAUAAUAAACUGAGAGUCAAAGAAAUUAAAAAUAAUAAUAAUCUAAAAAUGAAAUCAUGAAAUCACCUUUCAAAAACUUUGAUUUUGUAUUCCUUUGUUAAUUCAAUGUUUUUUAAAAUUUGAAGGGAAGAAUACAUGAAUUGGGGGCCCUCAUUUUAUAGCCUGAAAAGCGUUUCUUUUCUUUAUUUUCUCUAAUUUCUUAUUUUUCUGUUAUUUGUUUCUAGUUUGUUCUUUUAUAGGUGCGAGGCCAUACGGUGAUGUGGCGCGGUACGUGGCGUGGCGGAGGUGGCACAGAAGGCGGUGCAUUGUUUGGCUGUUGUUGUGGCGUCUGGACCUAGGCUGUUAGGGUUUAACUGGGUCUAGGAUUGGGUCUGAUGGCUAUGUUGCGCUUGUUAGGGUUUUUAAUUUUAAUUUGGGCUGAUUUUUUUUUUUGGUAAUUGAACUUUAAUUGUAAAUCGACCUUAUUAUUUUGGCUUUAGGCUCUAAUUGGUUUUGGUUUGUAAUGUAAAUGGACUAGACAUUAUUUUAUUUUAUUUAGUUUUAUUUUAAUUUGGUUUUAAUGGGCCCGGGCAAAAUUUGGGUUUUACAACUGCCCCUCUUUGCUUAUUGUCGUGUAACGAGAAUGGAGCAAAGACUUCAAAAAGAUAAAUUUUGCCCAGUCAUGCCGAGUUUUGGCUUCUUGGUACUGCUCCAAUCCACUCUGUCUUGCUGCUUCAAUUCACUCCACUAUAACUUUAUGGAGAUAAGGCUGGUGGCUUUAAUCUGCUCCACUGCAAUGCCAAGGAAAUAAGAUUUGUUGCCUUCAGCUUUAAUCUGUUCUGCUUUAAUCUGUUCCACUUCAGCUUUAAUCUAUUCCACUGCAACGCUAGGAAAAAAAGAUUCACUGCCUUCAGCUUUAAUCUACUACAAUGCCAGAGAAAUAAGAUUAUCUGCCUUCAGCUUUAAGAUGUUCCACUUCAGCUUCAAUCUAUUCCACUACAACACUAAGGAAAUAAGAUUCGCUGCCUUCAGCUUUAAUCUACUGUAACGCCAGGGAAAUAAGAUUCGCUGCGUUCAGCUUUAAUCUAUUCCACUACAACACUAAGGAGAUAAGAUUCGUUGCCUUCAGCUUUAAUCUACUGCAACACCAGGGAAAUAAGAUUCCCUGCCUUCAGCUUUAAUCUGUUCCACUGCAACGGCAAGGAAAUAAGAUUCACUGCCUUCAACUUUAAUCUACUGCAACGCUAGAGAAAUAAGAUUCGCUGCCUUCAGCUUUAAUCUAUUCCACUGCAAUGCUAAGGAAAUAAGAUUCACUGCCUUCAACUUUAAUCUACUGCAAUGCCAGGGAAAUAAGAUUUGUUGUCUUCAGCUUUAAUAUGUUCCACUGCAACGCUAAGGAAAUAAGAUUCGCUGCCUUCAGCUUUAAUCUACUGCAACGCCAAGGAAAUAAGAUUCGUUGCCUUCAGCUUUAAUAUGUUCCACUGCAAUGCCAAGGAAAUAAGAUUCACUGCCUUCAGCUUUAAUCUACUGCAACGCUAGGUAAAUAAGAUUCACUGCUUUCAGCUUUAAUCUGUUCCACUGUAAUGCCAAGGAAAUAAGAUUCACUAUAAUGACUUCAAUCCAUCCCACUGUAACUUCAGCGGUAUAGGAUUUAUGGUUUCACCAAUAUGUUCGCUAGGGAACAUGACCUAUAAAAUCCAUUUCAUGGGCCUAUUCAUGCCUAGUGAUUAGGAUGUAAUGAUUGGAAUGAAAUUAAAAUCUCCUAACUAGAUGUGUAUGAAUGAAUGCAGAAUGCCAUGAAAAUAAUCUCUUAAUGUUUGAGUUGUUAUUGCUCAUUGUUUAUUAAGGCUCCAUCAUUGACAUGUUCUUGUUCGGCUGGUACCUUCGACAAAAGACCCAGAGAAACACUCAAUCAGUUUGCCCCACUAUAACCUCAAGGUUCAACUGUAUUUCUGGGUCAUGAGUCUUGUGCUAUUGAGACCCGGGUAUAAAAUCUGACACUUUUUCCAUCCUCUCCUACUGCAAUUCAAGAGUAUAGGAUGUGAAUAUUCUUCCACUACUUUGGUCAUUUACACCACUCCUAGGGUGUCGUGAUCAAAUGUUUAUGCACAAAUGUAGAAUUUUCUUCUCCAAGAAAAACCUCUUCUUAUUACUCAGUGGUCAUUGCUUGUUUGCUCAUUGAAGCUUUAUCACCGACAUGAUAUUUUGUUGCUUUGUUCAAUCAAUAUUUUGACAGCAAAAUCCAAAGGGAUAGUCUUAAUUUAGACUUUUCCUUCUCAGAUAUUUCCAACCUUUAACCAGGUACGUUCUAAACAACAGUCCUGUUUCAAGUUCUUGUAUUAUUUAGAAACUUCUAGAGUAAUAUACAAAACUUCCUUUGUGAAAGUAUUAUUAGUCCAUUAAUCAUUAUUGCAAUGUAACAUGCUUGCAAAAGAUUAUAACAAUGGAUAAGAAUAGAAUUGAUUUGGAGCAUAGCUCAAAAUGAAUAAAUUACCAAGGAUAAAGAAGAAUAAAAAAGGGAAUUGAUUGGGAACAUGUAUCUUGAAAAGAAUAAAGUAUUCCAAGAAUAGCAAAUUCAAUAUAAAUAGUAUGAAGACUAGAUGCCCAGAUAUCGCAGCUUGAACUUCUCUGUACCAACCUUCUAAAAAACUGUUUUGAAUUUGACAUGUGUUUAGGAGAUCUACAGUACUUUGUCGAUGUCUCAGAUGUUGCAUACCCCUUUCCUGUUAAUUCAAGUAUAGCAAGAUCAUAGCAUGCCCUAUUUUGAUCAAUAUUUGAGCCGCUCUUUUUAGGUUUUCAAGUCAAAUCCCUUUUGGUCUUAGGAUUCCCUUUGCGGGUUUUCACCUUGGCCUCUCUUUUUUUUUAGGACUCAAAGCACCCAUUGCGGGUUUUCACCUUGGUCCCUUCUCCUUUUUUAGGUGAAGUAUUUCUUGACUCAAUUUGAGAGUACAAGAUUUGACAAGUUUUUACCAUCCAUCUUACUCAAAAUCAUUGCUCCUCCAGAAAAGGCCUUCUUUACAACAUAAGGUCCUUCCUAAUUUGGCAUCCAUUUCCCUCUAAAAUUCUUUUGUAGAGGAAGGAUCCUUUUCCACACCAGGUCCCCCUCAUGGAAUUCCCUGGGAUGAACCUUUGUUAUAGGCUCACAUCAACUGUUUUUGGUACAUCUGACCGUGGUGAAUAGCUUUUAGCCUUUUUCCUUCUAUUAGUUUAACUGAUCAUAUCGAGAUUGGAUCCAUUCUGCUUCAUCCAACUUUAACUCAGCCAAUACCCGGAGAGAAGGAAUUUCAACUUUAAUAGGUAAAAUUGCCUCCAUCCCGUAAACCAGAGAGAAAGGCGUUACCCCGGUGGAAGUCCUGAUUGAUAUUCAAUAAGCAAAGAGGGAAAAUGGUAAUUUCUCAUGCCAGUCUUUGUAAGUUUUAGUCAUUUUCUCCACAAUCUUCUUAAUAUUCUUAUUAGCUGCCUCUACCACACCAUUCAUUUUUGGGCGAUACAGUGACAAAUUAUGGUGUCUGAUUUUGAAUUGAUUACAGACCUUAGCUAUCGUGCUGUUGUUCAGAUUCAACGCAUUGCCCGAUAUAAUCCUUUCUGGCAUUUUAUACCAGCAUAUGAUCUUUUUUUUCGAGAAUUUGCUAACUUCUAACUUGGUGACAUUGGCGUAUAAAGUAGCUUCUAUCCGUUUGGUGAAAUAAUUAAUGACCUCAAAAAUAGAGCGAUGCCCAUUAGAAUCCUUCGAUGAUAUCCAUGCCCCACUGUACUCAAAAUUUGAGUUGCCCUUUUCGGGUUUUCAACUCAAACUCCUUUGGUCUUAAAGUACCCUUUGCGGGUUUUUGCUUUGGCCUCUCCUUUUUCUUUUCUUUGUCUUUUUUCUUUUCUUUUUCUUUUCUUUUUUCAUCUUUUUUUUAAAUGUUUUUUUAUUGGAUCUGAACUCAUAGGAUUAGGCAAGUCCUUGUUAUCCCUUUCAAUCAGAACCAAUGUUUUUCUAGAUAAAGUCUUCCACACAAGAUCCUUCCCAUAUUAACAUCCACUUUCAUAUGAAAUCCUUUUGUAUGUGAAGGAUCUUCUUUGAUAUCAGGUUUCUUUCAUAGAACUUUUUGGGGCGAAAUUAUUUUUGGCACAUUUGAUUAUGACGAAAAACUUUGGAUCUUGCUCUUCAAUCGGGAUAACAUCCAAACAAAAACUCGAAGAGAUGGAAACUCGACUUCAAUGGGAAAAGUUGUGAUAAGCCAAAGAGAAAGGCGUUGCCUCGGUAGAGAUUUUUUACUGAAUCGUUCAUGAUGUUAAUCUUGAACAUACUGUAAAUUUUUGAUAUCAUGCUGUUGUUCAAAAUUAAUGCAUUGUCAGAUUAUAAUGUUAGUGCUUAACCCGGGCAUAUCUUGGUAUGAUCAUGCGAAGACAUCUUUAAACUCUUGAAGUAGCUCAACAAGGUCUUGCCUCAUUUCUUUGAUUAUGCAUGUUCUAAUUUUUACUACUUUUCCCUCCUCCAAGGUCACAAUCUCCAUGAGGUAAAAUCUGUUUCUCUUCCUAUUCUACCAUCCUCAACAAGUCCGGAGAUAAGCCACAGUUUAUGUCAUCUUCAAAGUCAUGAGAUCCCUCUAAACAUAUGUCUUAUUUAAAAGGAAAUUUUGAGUUUGUAGCAGCGUCACUCAUGUUCUUGAUAUCCAGGGACCUAUUAUAGGUACCGAAUAAUAUACAAAGAAUGUAUGAUUUUAAGAAUAAUUAUCUGUACAGUAUAUUUACGAAUAAAAUGAAAGAAUAAUUUGGAAAAAAUCCAAAAAGAAUGAAAGAAUAUUUGCUCAAAAUGCAUGUAGAGAUGUAUUUCAUUAAAAUAAUGACGUUCAGACAUGAGCCUAUUUCACAAAGGAGUUCUUAUUGCCUCUAGGCUAAAAGAAACAAGUAUGUUCUAAACAUUACUCUGAGUAAGCUCUAAAAACUACAGAGAUUUCUUCCGCAGUUCAAUUGUUUAACACACUUCCCGAUUCAUAAGGGCGGAUAUCUAACAAGGUCCCUCCUUCAGUUGCUUCUUCGUAUAUAAUAUUGAUGUAAAUGUUUCUCAACAAUUCUUUAAUACUUUCUUCUCUUGGCAUUCUUUACUUUGGAUAAAUAAUCCCUCCCGAUACAAAAGUUUUCGAUAUAUGGGGGAAGUCAUAAGCUUCCAUUCGACCUCAUCCUCGCUCAAAUGUACUCUCCUCCUUUCCUAUUUUUUUCUUUAACUCCUUCCUUCUUUAAUUUGUAUCUAUUUUUGAAGUUGUUCAAGUCUUUCUAAUCUUUGGCCCAUGUCGAUGGUUUUUGCUCGGGUACCGAAACGGUAUUUGGUUGGUAAGUUGGUUUCCAGAUUGACUGAGGAAUGAUUUUAAUCAAUUAGGAUCUUUUAAUAGUCUUUAAUACAUAUGAUGUUAUGUAAUGCAUGAAAUGAAUGCAAAAAGGCACCAAUUCUAAUUCAAUUCCAUUUAGAAAACUUUACUAGAAAACAAAUUUAUUUACAUAAAAUUGGCUACAAAUAAGGCUUUGCCCCAAUGCUCAAAGCUUUAAUCUUCCUAAGUAAUGAAGCUAGUUCUUGCCCCCGAUCUGAUUCAAGUUCGUACUUCACACUCAGCGUAUCGGCUUGUAUUGCCAAAGUCUACAAGUGAUCAGCUACCUCUCGAAUCUGAACCACGGCUUCUCCCAUAAUGUAAUCCUUGUUACUAACUUGGUUCUGAAAAUAGUGAUGCUGUUCAUUCUGACACUCUUCACUUGCUUCAAGGAAUUCAAUCCUACUUUCACAAUUUUGUAGUGCCAUCUCUAAUUCUUCUCUUCUUCUUUUCAUCUCUUCAAUCUUGCUUAAGCUCCUCUCAGCUCCCUUGCAGAAUUAUGAUUUCGGUAUUGAUGAAGAGAUCUUUCCAAUUCAACCACUCUAGCCAUUAAUUCCCUUUUUUCAUUUCGACUUUCUGACAGUUUUUUCUCUAGGGUCUCAUUUUGCGUCUGGGCCUCCUGAAAUUUCUUUUCCCAUCUAUUAGCCUUGAUCUUUUCCUCUUGGAUUUCUUGAUGUCACUGUUUUAAAGUUUUCCCCAACCUAGUAGUUCUCAUUGAGAGACGCAACUUAUUAUAGUCUGUCUUCAAGUUAUCUAAAUCUUUCUAAGCCUUAUUCUUCCCUUUUCUUAACUUCUCAGUUUCUAGCUUUUGAAUAUCAAUGUCUAGUCUCAAAUUCAUCUUCUCUUCUUCCAUGUGGUCUAUCUUUUUUUCUAACUCUAAAUUUCUUCUAUCAAAAUCCUGCAUUAUAAUUUCUAGCUCGGAGGGGACAACUCGCAAGAGCUUUUCUAUUGGUUGAUUGUCUCUCUGACUUGGCCCAAGGAUAUUAUCAUUAAUUCUCCUACCCCACCACUCAAUAUAUUCAGGUGUCACCAUCGGUCCUACUACCAAUCUCUUCAUCCGUCGAGUCUGGUUCCAGGCAUUAGACAUCUCUCAAAUCUUCUUCUUGUAACCAUUGCCUUUAUAUGAGAAUUCGCACUAAACUAGUCCUUGGGUUGCGGGUACGAACUGGCUUGACCUAUACUGUCUUAGUACUAGCAAAGGUGCAUAACUAACAACUCCCCAAAUCCUAAGUAGAGGGACCUAGUCGAAAUCACCACAUCUAUAUAAGAUCUCAUCUGGAAGCAUCCAAGGAGCUCUCCAUUCGAUGUUAUUUUCUUGAAGAUUCUGAAGAAUUGCCAUCCAUUUUUCUUCUGAAAUAUCACCCUGAUAUACUUCCCCAGUUUAGCCGAAGCUUAACACAUCGAUUCGCGAUUAUGGUUUUACCUUUCUCGUGGAGAGAAAAGUAAUAAAAACCCAAUGAGUUUCUUUGAUUUUGGGUCUUUAAUAGGUACAAGCUCUAGAAAACUAUGAGCAAAGGUCCUUCAUUGCGGCAACAAUAAUCAAUCAAAUACACCACCAUAAUCCACUAAGAGAACCCACAAAGUUGACCUGGAGCAAUCUCGUACUCUUAGAGCAGAUGGCAGAAAAACGUAUCUAGGGGCAGAUGACACCCAACUUCCAAGAUGUGGAGGGGGAGCAAGAAACUGCCAUCACUGGUGUCGCUAACCUAUACGACCCAUCAAGACCCGAGAAUUCGUAAGCAAAGUUAGAGAUUUGAAUCCCUAUGCACACAAAGCUCGAUGCAUCUCUUCAUCUUUUGUAGUGCAGAUGAAAAGGUUGGCUUCAAUAAGGACCUUGGAAGUGCGCUCUCACGGUGGGCAACAUGGAAUUAACUGGCCAUGAGCUCCUCUCAUUCUCGACAUAUCUUUGAUGUAGAAAGAAGAAAAAAAGAUAGAGGAAAUUUAAAACCUAAGACAAGGAGUUACUGAGAUUUACUUUGAAGAAAAGCUUUGACUGAUUCUAGUAACAAAAAUGCUAAGUUUGUGCAUUUUAGGGUUUCAAAAAAAAUCCCUUUUUAAAGAACCCUCUUCCCCCACGUUUCGACAGUUUAAAUGAUCGAGGGACAUCAAUGGUCAGAUAUAUACAACCGCGAUUCACCUGUACACAUGGCGAAGCUGACACCAGAUUCCAAUAGACACUACGUAUUCUGCAAGCUAUAAUAAACGCAAAGUGAUGGCCCUAAAGAGCGCCACUUUAUAACCCUCCUUAGGCCUAUUAAGGGCAACCAGAUUGUUAUACACCAAUGAUCACCAACCUGAAACCCAUAGAACUGCCAGGGGAGCUCACAAUAUCAGCUCGCACGAGCCAAGGGGAGUUUGCGGUCUCAGUUCAGAUCAUAUCUAAGGAGUUUACAUGUAGGUGGUCGCGAGGUCUGGUAAGCGAGCUAGAAUGCUACAUGUGUCCAUCAGGCUUGAGGCCUAUUCAGAGCGUCAGUCCUAUGAAUAAUGGAGUCAAGUCCAUGAACAAUGGAGUCAAAUCAUAAACAGUAAUAGUAUGUAUAAAUACUCGAUUGUCCCCUUCAGUGGGACACAACACAGGAUUACUCAACAAAUAGUAUUGAGAAAUAAGGAUAAUUUAUGUUCAUCCCUUCAAAACUUUUAAAUAUUUUAAAUUAUAUUGUAAAAUAGAAAGCUUGAUAUUAUAGAUCAAGUAAAAUUAUUUUCAAAAACUCAUUAGAUAAUAUUAAUUCAAUUCUACCAAUAAGUGAAUGAAAGAAGUGAUACAAGACUUUUUCUUAAGUAUGUAUAUUGAGUUGUAAUAUUAAAGUCAUCAUUGUUGAAACAGGAGCGAAGGCAAAAAAAAAUUUUUGGGGGGACCGAAAUUAAAUUGUAAUUUUUACAAUAGUAAAAAUAUAAUUUUUAAAAAAUUAAAUCAAAAUUUUAUCAAUUUUAGGGGGACAAAGUGUAAUUUUACCUUUACUAAUUUAAAAUAUUAAAGGGCCAAAAUGAAAAAUUUUCUAUUUUAAGAGGGCCCGGGGUCCCUAGUAGCUCCCUAGAUUCACCCCUGAAAGAAUUUUACUCAAAUAUUACUUUUAGCUCAAACAAAAUUUAACUCAAACUAUACAAUAGAUGAAAAUAUUUGUGAUUAAAGUCAACUUUUAUUAAUUUUGUACUUUGUGCUAUAAUCAAUCAAGAGGUAUAUAGGUAGAUUUAUUUAGUUCUUAAGUUGUCGAUAAAGCUAGAAGGGAGGAAUUAGCAAAAGAGUACUGUUAGCCCCUUGCCCAAAAUAAUGGGCAUUAUCCUUAGCGAGUGAUAGCAAAGGUGAUUGCUCUUUACAACUUGAGAAGAAAUUUCCAAGAAUGUCACUUGACCCUUUCUGAUGACAAGAGAUUCCACAUUUUUAUUUAUAGCCAUUCAACAUAUAAGGUGAAUUAGUAUCACAAGUCUAAAAUUUAUUUAUGCUAUCAAUACAUGUGAGUAUUUCUAGAAAUUUGAGUGAAAUAUAUCACAUAAAAACUGAUUUUUAUGUAAUUUUCGUGACAAAACUGGUAUUGAGUUCAAUAAAAUAAAAUCUGCGAAUAGAGAAAACACUAGUAAUUUGUCUCAAGUAUUCCUUUUUGGAUCUUGAUUUAACCUGAACAAGAGCAGAUGAAAAUUUUCGUAGAUAAAAGCCGAAGACGAUAUUUUGAAGUAAAGGCUCAACUCAAUUUCCAAGUCAUAGUCUUUUGUGGAAAAGUAUUCUGAGUGGAAAAGUAUCCAGAAAAUGAUAGAAAAGGCUUUGGGCCACAAUUAAAUCAACAUAUGUAAAUUGUUAUACGAAAUUAAAGAUGGAAUCGUCAAUGUCAUGACAUCAACGUCUUAUUACUUUAUACUCUAAAGAAAAUUUUGUUAAUUAAUUACUACUUUAAUUAUCGACAAUAUUGCUAAUUAAUUUUAAGUUUGCACUUAGUACCCCUGCACCAUGUUCCGUUUCUACGACUAAUGAUUUUCCAAAGAAAAUUUUGAUUUAAGGAGAAAUUGCAAUUUCGGAUUCAAUUUAUAUAAGAAAAUUUCCUUUCUAAAAAAUUGAGAACACUAAAGCUUAAUCCAAAUUAAUUGCUAAGAAAAAUAGCAGCCAACAUGCAUUUGUUUCAUUGAAAAUUAAAACCAAGGAGGUAUCAUUUUCAAGAAAUAUGGACCAUAAGAAGAUUCUCCUUUUAUUAUAUACUAUUGAUACUAACAACAGAGAAAUUUUCAUAUGGCAACAAUUGCAACAACACCUUGACUGCUAUACAAAUCCAUCAGUUUGGAAACUAUAACGUAUAUGCUACUGCUAGAUAAACAGUUUAGAAAUAUCUGCUAAAGUCUUCUGCUCUACCAAACAUUAAAUGAAACAUGUUUAUCUAGGUAUAAAAGAAACAGUUUCUAAAAAUGACUACGCCAAAAAUGCCCAAACCAUUAUGAGGGUUUGAUUAUUUACAAUAAUCACCUCUUCUUAUUUCAUCUUCAGUGUUAGGGUCAACCUGAUUAGGUAAUAAACAAGUAAAAAUAGCAAAAGAAAUUGAAAAUUUUAACACAUAAAUUCAACAUGAAAAAAUCCGUCCAAAGAAAAUAAAAAACUAUGGGGAAAUAUAAUUUUACUAAAAUUGCAAAAGAACGAAAAGUAUAAAAGAUAGAGAUAGAAAUUAAACCCCGAAAACUCAUUAGAGAUUAGAAUUCAUAACACGUUUAAAGAAUUAUUUGUUUUCGGGUUUUCGAGGUUUAGUUUUUAUAUCUAUCUUUUGUACUCUUCGUUCUUUUGUUAUUAUAGUAAAUUUAACUUUACCUGUAAUUUUUAUCCUCUUGAGUUUUUUUAAAAUUAAAAUUGUGUGUUCAAUUUUUUAAUUUCUUUUACUUGUUCCUUACUUAAUUGGGUUGAUCCCCAACAUUUAGAUAUAAACAGAAGACCAAAAAGAGCUGUGGAUAAUUAGGGUUACUAUUCUUCCGAUUGAUGGUGCCCUUGGAUUUUGUAUCCCUGUUUGGAGGUCUUUUUAAUUAAUGAAUUCAUCGACUUAGCAAUAGAAAAAAAAAACAUAUCCAGAACUUGUGUUAGAAAUACCUUCAAGAGAUAAAAUAACAUUGUGUGAAACAAGUAUGAAUUCUUGGGCAACCACAAGACUCCACCAGUGUGACAAAUACAAAAGCUAAAGGCUAUCAAUCAAGAUAAAUUGUUUCAGGAGUGUUGGAAACUAGGAAGAUGAAUUUAACGGAAAAGUUACACUGUCGGUUGGAAUUCUCCUGGACAUUGAACUACUAGGAUUGGUAUCCCAUGAAUGGAUCAUGUCAUCUGUUUCAGAUUCUUCAUCACCACAGUCUUCAAUAACAGUUCCACCUGAAGCUUUAAUCAACUCCAGCUCCAUUACUACUUGUUUCAUGGUGGGUCUUUUCUUUCCAUUAAGAUUCAAGCAUCUUUUUGCUAGCAGAGCCACAACCAUAAUCUCCUGUUCUGAACCAUCCUUUACUACCAUUGGAUUGAGAAUGCUAAAUAAGGAAUUCUCCUGCAUUGAAUGCAAAAAAUAAGAUACCAAGCUUCUCACUUGUUCUGAUUGGUUUGCGGAGAUGGGUUUCUGUCCUGUUAAAAGCUCAAUAAGUACAACUCUGUUAAGUUUAGUUCCCAUGCAAAGGUGGCCAUGCACGACAUGCAAAGGUGGUCAUGCUUCUGGAAUCGCAGCAGGCAGUGGUGCCAUGGUGUGCAGCAAGCUGAAGCUAUCCAUUUAGUUUCCUUAAUUGAAUGUCUUGUAUUUAGUUAGGAUCAAACUUAGUUGGUAGCUGCAUUUUGAUGUAAUUAGGUGCUGAAUGACAAGUUUAGGUAGAAGCUUUUUGUUUUUCAAUCAAGUUUACCAAGUUCUAGGCAAUUUAGUGGUGUUAGGUAUGUUAUUAGGUGAUUACUUGUUUGUUUUACUUGUUGACUGAUAUAUGUAAUGGCUUAAUGCCUUGUUGGCUUGCUUAAUGAAAGAUAUCAGCUCAUUUUCAUUCAAUCUUUUUCUCUCUUUUUCUGUUUUCACUUGCUAGCUUCAUCUUUCUGUUUUUUCUGCUUCCGAGUUUGCUUCUUCACCAAGCCUCGAGGCUUACUACUCAAGCAAGACUAGAAACAGCUUGCUGCUGUCUCUUGCACCAACAAUUGGUAUCGAGAGCUCUUGUCUUAGUGGACCUGUUGCUUCAAAACAAAGAACUUGAUGGCUUCUUCAGGAUUUUCACCAGCAGCCCCACCAGUCUUCAAUGGAGAAGGCUUUCACAUAUGGCUGGUCAAGAUGAAGACUUACCUACAGGCCUUCGAUCUGUGGGAAGUUGUCAACACAGAUACUGAGCCAGCACCACUGAGGGCUAAUCCCACAGUAGCUCAGAUUAGGCAACAUGCUGAUGAGAGGACCAAAAGGCACAAAGCCAUGUCCUGCAUCCAGAACUGUGUGUCAGAUGUCAUCUUCACCAGAAUUAUGGCCUGUGAGACUCCAAAACAGGCCUGGGAUAAGCUCAAGGAGGAGUUUCAAGGCACUGAGAGAACAAGGCAACAGUAGCUGUUAAACUUGAGAAGGGAUUUCGAGAAUUUGAAGAUGAAGGAAGAAGAAACAGUGAAGCAGUACUCAGAUAGAAUUAUGGCAGUGGUUAACAGCAUAAGGCUCCUAGGUGAGCACUUUGAUGAGGCAAGAAUUGUGGAGAAAGUCCUCUCCACUUUGCCUGAGAGAUAUGAGGCCAAGAUAUCCUCUCUAGAGGACUCAAGAGACCUUGCUAGCAUCUCUUUGACUGAGCUAAUCAACACAUUUUAUGCUCAGGAACAAAGAAGAGCUAGCAGAGCUGAAGAUCACCAAGAAGGUGCAUUUCAAGCCAAGGCCAGAGAAACCUCGAGCACUAAUGCUCAAAGAGGCAAAAGGCCUUGGAAAAACAGGCCUAAGCCUGAUGCUGCAAGGAGCAAUGACCAGCCCUGCAGAUAUUGCAAGAAGCCUGGCCAUCCAGAAGACAGAUGCUGGUUUAGGCCAGAUGCAGUAUGCCAACACUGCAAGAAGAAGGGCCACGUUGAAAGGGUCUACAAAAACAGAAGUAAGCCAAGGCAGAAUCAAUUUCAACAGUCAAAGGUUGAAGCUCGAGUAGCUGAGGACAGUAGUGACCAAGAAGAACAGGUCUUUGCUGUUUCCUGUGUAGCUUCUGAGAAGAAAUGCUCUAAAGGCUGGUUGCUGGACAGUGGUUGCACUAACCACAUGUCACCAGAUGCCUCCUUGUUUAAAACCUUGGACAAAAGUUAUAAAACCAAGGUCAAGGUUGGAAAUGGUCAGUUUAUAAGGGCUGAAGGAAGAGGAGAAGUGCUGAUAUGUACUCCCACAGGCAACAAGAUCAUUCCAAAUGUGCUGUUGGUACCACAGAUUGACAGAAACCUUCUCAGCAUAGCUCAACUGCUCGAGAAAGGUUAUUCUGUUGUGUUCAAGGAUAAACAAUGCCAUAUUACUGAUCCAAGUGGAUCAAGCCUUAUGAUAGUCACAAUGACUGAUAAAUGUUUUGAGGUUCACUGGGCAAAUGACUCAAACUCAGCAUACACAGCCUCUGUUGAAGACUCCAAGCUUUGACAUCAAAGGCUUGGACAUGCCAACUUCAGAUCAAUAGCUCGAUUGGCCAAAGAGGGCUUGGCAGAGAACUUCAUCAGCUCAGUGGAGCAUGAUGAUGUGUGUGAAGUUUGCCAAAUGGGGAAACAGGCAAGACUGCCAUUUCCUACAAAUUCAACCUGGAGAGCUACUGAAAGACUGCAGCUGGUGCACUCUGAUGUAUGUGGCCCGAUGAGGACUGAAUCACUCAGCAAAAACAGGUAUUUCAUCCUCUUUAUUGAUGACCUUACAAGGUUUUGCUGGAUUUUCUUUUUAAAACACAAGUCUGAGGUAGCUCAAGUGUUUGUGAAGUUUAAAAAUGCUGUAGAAACAGAAACAGGUUGCAAGCUGAAAUCGAUAAGGACUGAUAAUGGCACUGAGUACACUUCAGCUCAGUUUCAAGCCAUUUGCAAUGAUGCUGGUAUCAAACAUCAGCUUACAAAUGUCUACACACCUCAGCAGAAUGGGGUAGCUGAAAGAAAGAAUAGAAGUCUGAUGGAUAUGGCCAGAUGUCUGCUGUUUGAGAAGAAACUGCCCAAGACCAUGUGGGCUGAGGCAGUAAACACUGCUGUUUACCUUCAGAACAGGCUUCCUACAAAAGCUCUUGCAUCCGAGACACCUUUCGAGGCUUGGUCUGGUUUCAAGCCUUCCUUAGCACAUCUGAAGGUGUUUGGUUGCCUGUGUUAUGCACAAAUACCAGCAGCAAAGAGAGACAAGCUCUCUAAAAGGGCUCAACCAGGUGUUCUAGUAGGCUACAGCUCAGUCAAGAAGGGCUACAGGGUUCUGGAUCCCUUGAUAAACAAAGUCCAGGUGAGUAGAGAUGUCAUCUUUGAUGAAAAAGCCUGCUGGAAUUGGGAGAAAAAUGAGCCAGAAGCAGUUUCAGAAGACCUAGUGCCUAACCAAGCUGAACUUGAGCAGCUAGGACCUGAAAUGGAUGUUGAUGAUGUGCCUGUGAGAGGCACAAGGCCCCUAGAUGAUAUUUAUGAAAGGGCACAGGUUACAAUAGCAGAACCUAGCAGCUUUGAAGAGGCUGAGGCAGAUGAAGGCUGGAAACUAGCUAUGAUCAAUGAAAUCAACAUGAUUGAAAAGAACCAGACAUGGGAGCUUGUUGAUAAACCUGCUAAAAAGAAGACCAUUGGAGUAAAAUGGGUCUAUCGAGUAAAACAGAAUGCAGAUGGCAGUCUGAACAAGCUAAAAGCCAGGCUUGUUGUCAAAGGAUUUAGCCAAAGGUAUGGUCUGGACUACCUGGAGACAUUUGCACCAGUAGCCAGGCUUGACACAGUUAGAAUGAUAGUUGCCUUGGCUGCUCAACAUCAGUGGACCAUUCAUCAGCUUGAUGUUAAGUCUGCAUUUCUUAAUGGCUUCCUAGAAGAAGAGAUCUACAUCGAGCAGCCUCAAGGAUUUGUGAUCACUGGCAAAGAACACAUGGUGUACAGACUGAAAAAGGCUUUAUAUGGCCUGAAACAAGCUCCUCGAGCCUGGUAUGCUCGAAUUGACUCUUACUUGCUCAGUUUGGAAUUUGAAAGAAGUCCCAGUGAACCAACACUGUAUGUGAAGAAGAACCAAGCUCAAACUCAGCUUAUUCUGUCACUCUAUGUUGAUGAUCUACUGAUAACUGGAGGAGAUGGAAGAAUGCUGGAAGAUUUCAAAAGAAAAAUGAUAGAAAUGUUUGAAAUGUCUGAUUUAGGCAGAAUGAACUACUUCCUUGGAAUGGAAGUGAACCAAACAGAAAAGGGAAUCUUUCUUUGUCAGAGUUCUUUUACUAUGAAGAUCCUGGACAAGUUCUCUAUGAAGAACUGCAAGCCAACAAGCACACCAAUGGCUGUUGGAGUGAAGCUUUCGAGGCAAGGGAGUGGUGAACCAAUUUGUGAGACCAUGUACAAGAGUCUCAUUGGCAGUCUGUUGUAUUUGACUGCCACAAGGCCCGAUAUCAUGUUUGCUGUUAGUAUGCUAUCAAGAUACAUGAAUUGCUGCAAUGAUCAGCACUUUCGAGCAGCUAAAAGAGUGCUGAGAUACAUCAAAGGCACCAUUGGUCAUGGUGUAUUGUUCAAAAGGGCCAAAAACAUGAAGUUAAUAGGCUAUGUUGAUAGUGACUGGGCUGGAUCAAGUGAUGACAUGAGAAGCACAUCCGGAUAUGCUUUCAGUCUUGGCUCAGGUAUGUUUUGCUGGAGUUCUAAGAAACAAAGUCUGGUGGCACAGUCAACAGCAGAAGCUGAAUAUGUUGCUGCUGCAUCUGCUGUGAACCAAGCCAUAUGGCUUAGAAAAAUCUUGACUGAUUUAAACCAAAACCAAAAGGAGGCAAUAGAGAUUUAUUGUGACAACAAAUCUGCUGUUGCAAUUGCAAAAAAUCCCAUUUUUCAUGGCAGAACCAAGCACUUCAAUAUUAAGUUGCAUGUUAUAAGGGAGAUGGAACAAGCUCAUGAAAUCGAGCUGAUUCAUUGCAAUUCAGAAGUCCAAAUUGCUGAUAUCUUCACAAAGGCACUCAAUGUGUCUAAAUUUGUUAAAUUCAAAAGGGAAUUAGGUGUUACUAGCAUGGAAACUAAGGAGGAGUGUUAAGUUUAGUUCCCAUGCAAAGGUGGCCAUGCACGACAUGCAAAGGUGGUCAUGCUUCUGGAAUCGCAGCAGGCAGUGGUGCCAUGGUGUGCAGCAAGCUGAAGCUAUCCAUUUAGUUUCCUUAAUUGAAUGUCUUGUAUUUAGUUAGGAUCAAACUUAGUUGGUAGCUGCAUUUUGAUGUAAUUAGGUGCUGAAUGACAAGUUUAGGUAGAAGCUUUUUGUUUUUCAAUCAAGUUUACCAAGUUCUAGGCAAUUUAGUGGUGUUAGGUAUGUUAUUAGGUGAUUACUUGUUUGUUUUACUUGUUGACUGAUAUAUGUAAUGGCUUAAUGCCUUGUUGGCUUGCUUAAUGAAAGAUAUCAGCUCAUUUUCAUUCAAUCUUUUUCUCUCUUUUUCUGUUUUCACUUGCUAGCUUCAUCUUUCUGUUUUUUCUGCUUCCGAGUUUGCUUCUUCACCAAGCCUCGAGGCUUACUACUCAAGCAAGACUAGAAACAGCUUGCUGCUGUCUCUUGCACCAACAAACUCCAAAGCUAUAAAUGUCACUCUUCUCUGUAAAUUGAUUUGUUCGAAAAUAUUCGGGAUCCAUGUAUCCAAAAGUUCCUUGCACCCGAGUGGUUAAAUGUGUCUGUUCAAGUGCAACUGAUCUUGAAGUUCCAAAAUCUGAUACUUUUGCCCUAUAUUUAUCAUCCAAAAGUAUGUUAUUAGAUUUGAUGUCUCGAUGAUAAAUAGGAGCAGAAGCAGCUGAAUGCAAAUAGAACAAGGCAUUGGCAAUUUCAAUCGCAAUUCGUAAACGCAUUUCCCAUGUCAAUGGUAAUUCUUCAUUUUGGUUAUGAAUGAGAUCGUAUAAUGUACCAUUUGGGAUGAACUCAUACACCAAU